ACUGCUCAGUAACACGUGGAUAACAUGCCCUAAGGUGGGGGAUAAUCUCGGGAAACUGAGGAUAAUACCCCAUAGAUCUAGAGCGCUGGAAUGCCUUUAGGUCGAAAACUCCGGUGCCUUAGGAUUGGUCUGCGGUCUAUCAGGCAGUAGUGGGUGUAACGGACCCACUAGCCCGUGACGGAUAUGGGCCUUGAGAGAGGGUGCCCAGAGAUGGACUCUGAGACAUGAGUCCAGGCCCUACGGGGCGCAGCAGUCGCGAAAACUUCGCAAUGGGGGAAACCCCGACGAGGGAAUUCCAAGUGCUAGCACUUUGUGUUAGCUGUUCUUCUGUCUAAAAAACAGGAGAAGUAAGGGGCGGGUAAGACGGGUGCCAGCCGCCGCGGUAAUACCCGCGCCCCAAGUGGUGGUCGAUAUUAUUGAGCCUAAAACGUUCGUAGCCGGUCUUCUAAAUCCUUGGGUAAAUCGGGCAGCUUAACUGUCCGAAUUCCGGGGAGACUGGGAGACUUGGGACCGGGAGAGGUCAGAGGUACUUCUGGGGUAGGGGUAAAAUCCUGUAAUCCUGGAAGGACCACCGGUGGCGAAGGCGUCUGACUAGAUCGGAUCCGACGGUGAGGAACGAAGCCCUGGGGCGCAAACGGGAUUAGAUACCCCGGUAGUCCAGGGUGUAAACGCUGCGGGCUUGGUGUUGGGGGUCCUUAUGGGGCGCCCAGUGCCCGGAGAGAAGUUGUUAAGCCUGCUGCCUUGGGGGAGUAUGUCGCAGGAUGAAACUUUAAGGAAUUGGCGGGGG
rnacentral:rRNA from 1 species